rnacentral:rRNA from 1 species
GACGAACGCUGGCGGCGUGCCUAAUACAUGCAAGUCGAGCGGACCACUUCGGUGGUCAGCGGCGGACGGGUAAGUAACACGUGGGCAACCUGCCUGUAAGACUGGGAUAACACCGGGAAACCGGUGCUAAUACCGGAUAAUCCUUUCCUUCACAUGAAGGAAAGCUGAAAGACGGUUUCGGCUGUCACUUACAGAUGGGCACGCGGCGCAUUAGCUAGUUGGUGAGGUAACGGCUCACCAAGGCAACGAUGCGUAGCCGACCUGAGAGGGUGAUCGGCCACACUGGGACUGAGACACGGCCCAGACUCCUACGGGAGGCAGCAGUAGGGAAUCUUCCGCAAUGGACGAAAGUCUGACGGAGCAACGCCGCGUGAGCGAUGAAGGCCUUCGGGUCGUAAAGCUCUGUUGUCAGGGAAGAACAAGUACUGGAGUAACUGCCGGUACCUUGACGGUACCUGACCAGAAAGCCACGGCUAACUACGUGCCAGCAGCCGCAGUAACAC